rnacentral:lncRNA from 1 species
GGGUUCGGAAACACCACCAGCUUCAAAUUACUCACAAUCCGAGACAGAUCCCUCUUCACAGUGUCCCACACCGGCUCCGUCAAAGUGUUCGCCUGAGAACCGAACCCGCUAGCUCCGAUACUCGGGCGGGUAGAACUCGAAUUCGAGGUGUUUGGCAACGGCGGCGGCACCGCCGCCGGAACCACAGCCGGAACCACGGGGGGUUUGUUGUAGGUGGGCGGUGGAAUAUUGGAUUGGAUGAAGGGCGUGGAAGACACCGGAAUCGAGGCCCGCGGAGGGCUUGGCGGUCUGGCAGGCAAGACGGUGGCUGGGCCAGAUUGGACGCUGGCGUUGAUGAGGUUCUCGAUCUCAUCGAUGUCGGAUUGGGAGGAGGGGUGGAGAGGUAUGGUGUCGCUGUGGGACAUUUUCUCGGGAAGGUGGUGGAAAAUGGGGUGGAUCUGGG